rnacentral:rRNA from 1 species
UAUCGGAAUGAUACUAAGCCAUGCGAGUCAUUGUAGCAAUACAAGGCAGACGGCUCAGUAACGCGUAGUCAAUCUACCCUGUGGACGGGAAUAAUCUCGGGAAACUGAGAAUAAUACCCGAUAGAACAUUAUGCCUGGAAUGGUUUAUGUUUCAAAUGAUUUAUCGCCAUAGGAUGGGACUGCGGCCUAUCAGUUUGUUGGCGAGGUAAUGGCCCACCAAGACUAUUACAGGUACGGGCUCUGAGAGGAGUAGCCCGGAGAUGGGUACUGAGACACGGACCCAGGCCCUAUGGGGCGCAGCAGGCGAGAAAACUUUGCAAUGUGCGAAAGCACGACAAGGUUAAUCCGAGUGGUUUCUGCUAAAGAAACCUUUUGCCAGUCCUAGAAACACUGGUGAAUAAGGGGUGGGCAA